ACAGGUGCUGCAUGGCUGUCGUCAGCUCGUGUCGUGAGAUGUUGGGUUAAUCCCGCAACGAGCGCAACCCUUAUCAUUAGUUGCUACGCAAGGGCACUCUAAUGAGACUGCCGGUGACAACCGGAGGAAGGUGGGGAUGACGUCAAGUCCUCAUGGCCCUUAUGGGUAGGGCUUCACACGUCAUACAAUGGUCGGUACAGAGGGUUGCCAACCCGCGAGGGGGAGCUAAUCCCACAAAGCCGAUCGUAGUCCGGAUCGCAGUCUGCAACUCGACUGCGUGAAGUCGGAAUCGCUAGUAAUCGUGGAUCAGCAUGUCACGGUGAAUACGUUCCCGGGUCUU
rnacentral:rRNA from 1 species